CCCUUAGAUGUCCGGGGCUGCACGCGCGCUACACUGAAGGAAUCAGCGUGCUAAAACCAUUGUCGAAAGGCAUUGGUAAACCCAUUAAAAUCCUACGUGAUUGGGAUCGGGAAUUGCAAUUAUUUCCCUUGAACGAGGAAUUCCCAGUAAGUGUGGGUCAUAAGCUCGCGUUGAUUACGUCCCUGCCCUUUGUACACACCGCCCGUCGCUGCCCGGGACUGAGCCGUUUCGAGAAAGGCGGGGACUGCUGCUGUCGGGGCUUUCGGGCCUUGGCUUCGGUGGAAACCGCUUUAAUCGCANUNGCUUGANCCGGGCAAAANUCGUANCA
rnacentral:rRNA from 1 species